rnacentral:rRNA from 1 species
UACGUAGGGUGCGAGCGUUAAUCGGAAUUACUGGGCGUAAAGCGUGCGCAGGCGGUUGUGCAAGACAGAUGUGAAAUCCCCGGGCUUAACCUGGGAACUGCAUUUGUGACUGCACGGCUAGAGUACGGCAGAGGGGGAUGGAAUUCCGCGUGUAGCAGUGAAAUGCGUAGAGAUGUGGAGGAACACCGAUGGCGAAGGCAGCCUCCUGGGCCAGCACUGACGCUCAUGCACGAAAGCGUGGGGAGCAAACAGG